rnacentral:rRNA from 1 species
UACGUAGGGGGCAAGCGUUGUCCGGAAUCAUUGGGCGUAAAGAGCGUGUAGGCGGCUCGAUAAGUCUGCUGUGAAAGUCCAGGGCUCAACCCUGGAAGGCCGGUGGAAACUGUCGGGCUAGAGUCCGGAAGAGGCGAGUGGAAUUCCCGGUGUAGCGGUGAAAUGCGCAGAUAUUGGGAAGAACACCGGAGGCGAAGGCGGGUUGCUGGGCCGACACUGACGCUGAUGCGCGAAAGCCAGGGGAGCGAACGGG